AGCCAUUGGAAGAGAUAUCCAAUUCAACGAGGUUAGAGAGGUUACCAAUUCCGUAAUUCAGAGGCCCUGAGAACCUAUUUUCUUGAAGGUGCACUAUUCUGAGAUGUUGUAACCGGAAUAAAUUCUCAGGGAAAGUUCCCGAUAGACCAUUGCCAUUAAGAUAAACAUACUGCAAUGAAGUACAAUUCUCCAAAUAUGUUGAAGUUUCUCCGAACAAGUUAUUUGCAAGAUCAAGAUACUGGAUAUUAGAUGAAGUUUUACAAAUUUCUGAGGUAAGGAUGCUUGAGAAAUAAUUCUUUGAAAGGUCAAAAUACUUCACUGAGGGCAAAUGGAUUAUGGUGGGAAGUGAACCAACGAAAUAAUUGUUACUCAAGUCAAGGACUUCCAGGUUCUGGAAACGAAACAAGUUGGCAGGAAUUUCACCAUCGAGAGAAUUAUGAGAGAGGUUCAGGAUUCGUAGUUGCUCCAAUCCAACCAAACUCUCACAUAUGGUUCCUGAAAGUCUUUUGUUCCCAAGCUCUAGCCCAACCACUCUUUCAUUUAAAACAGAGGAAUUAUCACAAGUGAUACCUGUCCAGGAGCAGCAAUUGAGGUUGUUCCAGUUCCACCCGCCAAUAUCUGAUUCUAAACACUUGAUGAAACCUUUGAGGGCUGUUAAGUCAUUCCAAUUGCAUGCCGGUUGUUGAGAUCCCUGGAUCCUUUGCCCAAACAUGACAACCAACAAAAUGAAAGCCAAAGAGACCUUUGGGAUGCCCAUGAAGGUCAAUUUAACAAAAGGAAGCAAGGAGUUGUUACUGGUUUUUGCUAUGCUAUGAUGUUAUACAUUUUCCUUCUUUUUUGGUUUCCUCUGUAACGUUUUAAGGGGGACGAAAGUCGCAGAACCCAUGACUUUUGUGGGAGCUUGGACAAUCCAUCACUGUUGCUUCUUUACUUCGGAAAGAUGAUUAAAUGAUCUUAUUGACUUGUUCAACCAAAAUUAGUCCAUAUCCCCGUACGCGUUCGUUCAUAAACCCAUAGUUUCUGUCAAAAAACAAAAGACCAUUGAUAAACUUCAUGUCCGCAUGAGAUCGUUUUACAGUGAAGGUUUACCAAUAUUUUGACAAGAAAUAAUACAUUAACAUCUGAUACACACGUAAUGUGUUGAUUAAUCAUUUCAUUGCUUUCCAUUAAUGGACAUUUUUGUUUAUAGGCCAAUGUGUAACAAAUGAUUAAUGUUUAUCGUCAUUAAAGCAAUAAUUAUUGUAAGCAUUAAUCAUUGUAAGCUAAAAUCAAUUUACUGGUGUCAUUGGCUCCAUUAUUAACUUGAUGACUGUUAUAUGCUUAACUUUCAUUUUUAGGUGUGUAAAAAAUAAAAUUUAUUAUAUCAUAAUUCAUAUCGAUAUAUUUAAUAUAAAAUAUAUAUUUAAUUUUUUUUAAACUCAUAAAAUUUUUAUUAAAAUUUUAAAUAAUUUUAUUUUUAUAAUUUUUAUAUCACUUUUAUAUCAUAUUAUCAUAGUUAAAAUUAUCAAAUAUAUUUAUAUGAACGAAUUUAACCACUCAACUACAUUUUCAUUGUACAUAUAAAUGCAACCACUUAGAUAAAUAUUACCUUAUCCUCUUACUGAAUUGUUGCUUAGGAACACUUUGUAGAGAAGAUAUUUUGGAUUUUCCUUUUAUUUGAAUAUUGCUAUAGCCUAUGGGUGCCAAGCAUGAAAGGUUAAUUCUUGCAGUCUUAGUUCAGCUGAUGGGUUUGUAAGAUCAAACGGGCUGCAAGAAUUGUGAUGAUGAAAAUAAGCGGAGUUAUGGAAGCAUCCUUGUUGACUAAGGGUUCAUUUAUACGAGCAGUAAGAUUGAUUUUGAUAAAUUUGAAAAUAAUGAUAAAAAUAAAAUUAAUUAUUAUAAUAAUAAAAUUAAAUAUUAUAAUAUUAAAAUUAAAAUUAAUGAUGAGAUAUGUGUUUAAAUAAUAAAAUAAUUAUGAUGGUGAGAUGAAAAUACAAAAUUAUUAUUAAGUAUUUUAUUUUAAAAGUUUAUUGAUAAAUUAUUUAUAUAUUUUUUAAUAUAUUUAUAAUAUUAAAAAAAUUUUAAAAUUUUAACUCAAUAAAACAAUAAACAUAUUAUUUGUUAUAUAAUAAUAAAAUUUAUUUAUCAUAUAAUAAUAAAAUUUUAUUUAUAUUAAAUUAAUAAAAUUAUUUUAAAAAUUUUUAAAUAAAAAAUCAAAAUAAAAAAAUAAAAGUCAAAUGGCAUGAAAAUCCUUAAAACAAUAAGGGCAAAAAAUAAUACUAGCGAUGGGCAAAAUAGGAAUAAAAGUCAGUUGAAUCUCAACUAAAGCUCCAAUAACGAGACCCUCGCGCCUCACUGGUGUUAUCCAAACACCUGGACAGUGCGAUUUGCACCAAAAAAAGGGGACCAAUUGCGCUGAAACGGAAGCGCGAUGACUUCCAAAUGAGCCCUAAAUGGAUCAGAAUUGGAGAAGUCUUAACUAACUCGUGUUGAUGGGAAACUAUUGGGAUUAUUUAGUAUUUACUGUAAUUUUAGCAAAGUUUUUUUUUUUUUUAAUUUUACAUGUAUUAGCUGGAUUUAUUUGCUUGUAAAAUACUUCUAGCUGCCCUUGUUCCCACGUAAUUUCACUGCAGUGGUAAGGGAGACUUCCAUCUAUUUGUCCGUAUGACAGGAGACUUCCAUCUAUUUGUCCAUAUGACACGAGACAUCUUUCCUUGACCAACGUAAGGAAAAUAAUGAAAACUGCUCCUCCAACUCCAUGACCUCAUCAGUUUUUUGGCUUUGCCUAGAAAAGUCUUUAAGAGAUGAUAAAGAAUAAUUCUUUUUCUUUUUAAUAUAUGUUAUAUGGUAUAGUUAUAAUCAUUGAUUUUUUAUACGCCCAUGUUAUGUGCAACCAUAACAAACAUAUAUACUAUAUCAAUAUGAUCUCAUUCAGAACCCAAACCAUCAUCAUAUACGGGAAUAAAAGUAUAGUUUCUUCUUCCUGAUAAUUUUCCAGAUAAAUGAUCACUUGCUUUUCCUUAAAUUCUGAUAUGGCAAUAGACCAUGAUUAGGAAUGUAUCCUUUCCAGCUCUUUUCUUUAUAAAUCAUCCAUAAUGAGUACAUGAUAUGCAUCCAUGAUCCAUACAUGCCAAAAGUUGAGCCCGUUAUCCUACUUUUAUCUUAAACUUAUCUGUAAGAGGACAAAUCUGUCGCUCUUAUUGAAGUGUUACUUGGGAAUUUUGCAUUUUGGAAUUUUGGAAGAGGAUAGAAUGCCAUCACUUUGUUAUGACAGUGCUUCUGCUUGCAUUAUUAAUGCUUCAUUCAUACCCUUAAAAAUUUAUUUCAUAGAGAAGAUUUUUGGAAUUCCUGACUUCAAUAUCAUAGAUGCCAAGCAAGGAAAAGGUUAAUUCCUGAAAAGAAGAGUUCAGUUGAUGAGUUCCAGGAAUGGAAGGGCUUGGAAGGUGUGUGAUUAUGCAAAAUGUGCCGGAGAAUGCAACCAUCCUGUUUGAACGAGCUGCUUUUGGGACUGCAUCUAACAGCCACGGCCAUAUAUUAUAUAGAAAUUUUACCGUUUUACGUUUUGCAAGGAUAGGAAUGAUGGUUUCUCCAAUUAUUUUACCUCAGUGGAAAAGUAUCAGCUCCUUCCCUUCAAUUCUUUAGUUGAAAGGAAAAAGUUAAGGCAGAGAUUCUGCAUAUUUCGUUGAUCAUUAUUUUUGCAAGAGUGGAAAUUGUAAAUUUGAAACGUUGAUAGUAGAAUAUAAUUAUUUGGCUGAUGUAACAAGACAUUUCAUUUUUCUUCUCUUGGAGUCACAGAAGGUGAAGGCUUGAAGGUACAGAAGUUCCAGACGGUGGCUGUUAUGGAAAAUAUCAUAAAUUAGAACUAUGAUAGUAAGCUUUACGGUUUAUCUUCAAUCAUUACAACAUCAACAAAUUUAAGAGAAACUAAAGGAAGAAGAAAGAACCAUAUGGGGAUAAGCAGAGGAGCUAUAUAUAUAUAUAAAGAAUAUGCUUCUCAUCCUUUGCAAAGUACCCAGCCAGACUUGAAGCAAAAGGCGACAGUGAGACCGAAACCAACUGUCAAUCCAAUACCAAAAUUCCAAUCCACAAUCUUCAUUCCUUUACCUGGGGACACAAUUGGAGGAAUCAGUUUUGUUUGACAAGGUCUAAUUAUUCCAUGGCAGAGAGCCUCGUUCCCUUCAAAGCUUGAAUAAGGGAAUGUCAUAAACUGACCUCCUGAAGGUAUAUUCCCAUAGAGCUCAUUGUAUGAUACAUUGAAUUUUGACAAAAAGCUGAGAUGUACCAGAGAAUUAGGUAUUUCGCCAGAGAGUUUGUUACAAGACAAAUCCAACACUUCCAAGUUUGUCAUCCCUGAUACACUAUCUGGAAUGGUUCCUGAAAGUUUGUUCCCUUUCAAACUCAAAACAUGAAGCUUUUUCAAAUUUCCAAAGCUUAUCCAGAUUGGUCCGGUAAGCUUGUUGAAACUCAAGUCAAUAGUCGCUGGCAAGCCCCAUAUAUUGUUAUAAAUCAAGCGCGGCCCACCUUGUUCUAUGCUUUUUUCCAUUGGGAAGCCUGCCGAGAGUUCCUUCAGUUGAACAGUAUCGUUAACAAGACUAUCAAGUCCAGUUAAACUUUCUGGUAUUUCUCCGGAAAAGGAAUUGUUAGACAAGUCCAAGUAAAUGAGAUAUCUGAAAUCGCCUACCCAAAAAGGAAUGGACCCUCCCAAUGAAUUCCAAGACAGAUCCAGAAAUUGCAACAUUUUGCAACCCCUCAACCACAUUGGAAGGGAACCUCUAAGGUAACAAAAUGGAAUAAUAAGUGCCUUAAGACUUCUGAACUGCAAAUUGACGUUGCUAGGCAUCUGUUCGUGAUAAAAGUUCAAACCAAGGACCAGAAUGGUCAAGUUCUUGCAGUCUUGAAGAAUUUCAAGUGCUGUGGAUAUAUUAUUGAUGCUAGUGUUUGAGAGAGAGAGGAAUUGCAGUGCCUGCAGAUUUUUGAAGUGGAAUGGAAUCCCACCGGUGAAUUUGUUACGUGCAAGAUCCAGACUUCUCAAGCUCUGACAAAAGGAUAGACCAUCAGGAACUGGACCAUGAAAAUUAUUAGAAGCAAGACGAAGUGAGGUGAUACUGGUCAUUACAGAACAAUUUAUACUUACCGGACCAUCCAGACUGUUGUUGUGCAGAUCAAUCAUCAAAAUCGAAGGAGAAUUCACCAAAGAAAUAGGCAAUAAGCCACUUAAUAUGUUUGAGCCGGCAGAGAAGGACUCCAACUUUCUCAGUCUCCCAAAAACAUCUGGAAGACUUCCAUCGAAGCCAUUGGAAGAGAUAUCCAAUUCAACGAGGUUAGAGAUGUUACCAAUUCCGUAAUUCAGAGGCCCUGAGAACCUAUUUUCUUGAAGGUGCAGUAUUCUAAGAUGUUGUAACCGGAAUAAAUUCUCAGGGAAAGUUCCAGAUAGACCAUUGCCAUUAAGAUAAACAUACUGCAAUGAAGUACAAUUCUCCAAAUAUGUUGAAGUUUCUCCGAACAAGUUAUUUGCAAGAUCAAGAUACUGGAUAUUAGAAGAAGUUUUACAAAUUUCUGAGGUAAGGAUGCUAGAGAAAUAAUUCUUUGAAAGGUCAAAAUACUUCACUGAGGGCAAAUGGAUUAUGGUGGGAAGUGAACCAACGAAAUAAUUGUUACUCAAGUCAAGGACUUCCAGGUUCUGGAAACGAAACAAUUUGGUAGGAAUUUCACCAUCGAGAGAAUUAUGAGAGAGGUUCAGGAUUCGUAGUUGCUCCAGUCCAACCAAACUCUCACAUAUCGUUCCUGAAAGUCUUUUGUUCCCAAGUUCUAGCCCAACCACUCUUUCAUUUAAAACAGAGGAAUUAUCACAAGUGAUACCCGUCCAGGAGCAACAAUUGAGGCUGUUCCAGUUCCAUCCGCCAAUAUCUGAUUCUAAACACUUGAUGAAACCUUUGAGGGCUGUUAGGUCAUUCAAAUUGCAUGCCGGUUGUUGAGAUCCCUGGAUCCUUUGCCCAAACAUGACAGCCAACAAAAUGAAAGCCAAAGAGACCUUUGGGAUGCCCAUGAAGGUCAAUUUAACAAAGGGAAACAAAAGUUGUUACCGGUUUUUGCUAAGCUCUGAUGUUAUACAUUUUCCUUUUUUUUUUGGUUUCCUCUGUAACGUUUUAAGGGGGACGAAGGUCGCAGAACCCAUGACUUUGGUGGGAGCUUGGACAAUCCAUCACUGUUGCUUCUUGACUUCAAAGAUGAUUAAAUGAUCUUAUUGACUUUUUCAACCAAAAUUUGUCAACAUCCCCGUACGCGUUCGUUCAUAAACCCAUAGUUUCUGUCAAAAAAAAAAAAAAAGACCAUUGAUAAACUUCAUGUCCGCAUGAGAGUCGUUUUACAGUGAAGGUUUACCAAUAUUUUGACAAGAAAUAAUACAUUAACAUCCGAUUCACGCGUACCUGCCUCAAGAACAAUGUGUUGAUUAAUCAUUUCAUUGCUUUCCAUUAAUGGACUUUUUUGUUUAUAGGCCAAUGUGUAACAAAUGGUUAAUGUUUAAAGUCAUUAAAGUAAUAAUUAUUGUAAGCAUUAAUCAUUGCAAGCUACAAGCAACUUAUUGGUGUCAUGAGCUCCACUAUUAAUUUGAUGACUGUUGUAUGCUUAACUUUCAUUUUUAUGUGUGUAAAAAAUAAAAUUUAUUACAUCAUAAUUUAUAUUGACGAAAUAUAUAUUUAAUUUUUGUUAAACUCAUAAAUUUUUUAUUAAAAUACUAAAUAAAAAUAUUUUUAUAUCAUAUUAUUGUAUUUAAAUUUAUCAAAUUUAUUUGUAUAUACAAAUUCAAUCACUCAACUAUAGUUUGAUUGUAAAUAUAAAUGCAACCACUUAGAUAAAUAUUACCUUAUCCUCUUACUGAACUGGUGAGAUGAAAAUAAAAAAUUAAUAUUAAGUACUUUAUUUUAAAAGUUCAUUGAUAAAUUAUUUAUAUAUUUUCUAUUAUUAUUUAUAAUAUUAAAAAAAUCUUAAAAUUUUAAUCAAUAAGAUCAAUGAACAUGUUAUUUAUUAUAUAAUAAUAAAAUUUAUUUAUCAUAUAAUAAUAAAAUUUUAUUUAUUAUUAAUUAAUAAAAUUAUUUUAAAAUUUAUAAAUAAAAAAAUCAAAAUAAAAAAAAAGUAAAAUGGCAUGAAAAACCUUAUAACAUUAAGGGCAAAAAUAAUAAUAAUAACAAUGGGCAAAAUAGGAAUAAAAGCCACAAUUGAAUCUCGACAAAAGUUCCAAUAAAUACACGAUGGCUCUUACCUCCAGUGAAUGAACGGAGGCCCUCGCACCUCAACGGUGUUAUCCAAACACCCGGACGGUGCGAUUUGCACCAAAAAAAGGGGACCAAUUGCGCUGAAACGGAAGCGCGAUGGCUUCCAAAUGAGCCCUAAAUAGAUCAGAAUUGGAAAAGUCUUAACUAACUCAUGUUGAUGGGAUACUGUUGGGAGUAUUUAGUAUUUACUGUAAUUUUAGCAAAGCCUUUUUUUUAAUUUUACACGUAUUAGCUGGAUUUAUUUGCUUCUAAAAUACUGCUAGCUGCCCUUGUUCCCACUUAAUUUCACUUCAGUAGGAAGAGAGACUUCCAUCUAUUUGCCCAUAUGACAUGAGACAUCUUUCCUUGACUAACGCAAGGAAAACAAUGAAAACUCCUCCUCCAACUCUGUGACCUAAUUUGUUUUUUGGCUUUGCUUAGAAAAGUCCUUAAGAGAUGAUAAAGAAUAAUUCUUUUUCUUUUUAAUAUAUGUUAUAUGGUAUAGUUAUAAUCAUGGAUUUUUUAUAUGCUCAUGUCAUGUGCAACCAUAACAAACAUAUAUACUAUAUGAAUAUGAUGAUCUCAUACAGAACCCAAACCAUCAACAUAUAUGGGAAUAAAAGUAUAGUUUCUUUUUCCUGAUAAUUUCCAUCCUUAAAUUCUGAUAUGGCAAUAGACCAUGAUGAGGAAUGUAUCCCUUCCAGCUCUCUUCUUGAUAAAUCAUCCAUAAUGAGUACAUGAUAUGCAUCCAUGAUCCAUACAUGCCAAAAGUUGAGCCCGUUAUCUUACUUUUAUCUUAAACUUAUCUGUAAGAAGACAAAUCUGUCGCACUUAUUGAAGUGUUACUACGGAAUUUUGCAAUUCGGAAUUUUGGAAGAGGAUAGAAAGCCAUCACUUUGUUAUGACAGCGCUUCUGCUUGCAUGAUUAAUGCUUCAUUCAUACCCUUAAAAACUUAUUUCAUAGAGAAAAUUUUUUGAAUUCCUGACUUCAAUGUCAUAGAUGCCAAGCAAGAAUAAGGUUAAUUCCUGAAAAGAAGAGUUCAGUUGAUGAGUUCCAGAAAUCAAAGGGCUUGGAAGGUUGUGAUUAUGCAAAAUGCGCCGGAGAAUGGAAGCAUCCUGUUUGAACGAGCUGCUUUCGGGAUUGCAUCUAACAGCUAUAGCCAUAUAUUAUAGAAAUUUUACCGUUCUACGUUUUGCUAUGAUAGGAAUGAUGGUGUCUCCAAUUAUUUUACCUCAGUGGAAAGCAUCAGCUCUUUGUCUUCAAUUCUUUAGUUGAAAGGAAAAAGUUUAAGGUAGAGAUUCUGCAUAUUUCGUUAAUCAUUAUUUUUGCGAGAGUGGAAAUUGUAAAUUUGAAAAGUUGAUAGUAGGAUAUAAUUAUUUGGCUGACGUAACAAGACGUUUCAUUUUUCUUCUCUUGGAGUCAUAGAAGGUGAUGGCUUGAAGCAGCAGAAGUUCCAGACGGUGGCUGUUAUGGAAAAUAUCAUAAAUUAGAAGCAAAUUAGAACUAUGAUAGUAUGCUUUACGGUUUGUCUUAGAUCAUUACAACAUGAACAAAUUUAAGAGAAACAGAAGGAAGAAGAAAGAACCAUAUGGGGAAAAGCAGAGGAGCUAUAUAAAUAUAUAUAUAUAUAUAUAUUAUAAAGAAUAUGCUUCUCAUCCUUCGGAAAGUACCCAGCCAGACUUGAAGCAAAAGGCGACAGUGAGACCGAAACCAACUGCCGCUCCGAUACCAAAAUUCCAAUCCACAAUCUUCAUUCCUUUACUUGGAGAGACAAGUGGAGGAAUCAGUUUUGUCUGACAAGGUCUAAUUAUUCCAUUGCAGAGUUCCUCGUUCCCCUCAAAGCUUGAAUCAGGGAAUGUCAUAAACUGACCUCCUGAAGGUAUAUUCCCAUAGAGCUCAUUGUAUGAUACAUUCAAUUUUGACAAAAAGCUGAGAUGUACCAGAGAAUUAGGUAUUUCGCCAGUGAGUUUGUUACAAGACAAAUCCAACACUUCCAAGUUUGUCAUCCCUGAUAUACUAUCUGGAAUGGUUCCUGAAAGUUUGUUCUCUUUCAAACUCAAAACAUAAAGGUUUUUCAAAUUCCCAAAGCUUAUCCAGAUAGGUCCGGUAAACUUGUUGAAGCUUAAGUCAAUAGUUGGUGGCAUGCUCCAUAUAUGGUUAUAUGACAAGCGCGGCCCUCCAUGUCCCGUGCUUUUUACCAGUGGGAAGUCUGCAGAGAGUUCUUUCAGUUGAACAGUAUCGUUAACAAGGCUAUCAAGUCCAGUUAAACUUUCUGGUAUUUCUCCGGAAAAGGAAUUGUUAGACAAGUCCAAGUAAAUGAGAUAUCUGAAAUCGCCUACCCAAAAAGGAAUGGACCCUCCCAAUGAAUUCCAAGACAGAUCCAGAAAUUGCAACAUUUUGCAACCCCUCAACCACAUUGGAAGCGAACCUCUAAGGUAACAAAAUGGAAUAAUAAGUGCCUUAAGACUUCUGAACUGCAAAUUGACGUUGCUAGGCAUCUGUUCGUGAUAAAAGUUCAAACCAAGGGCCAAUAUGGUCAAGUUCUUGCAGUCUUGUAGAAUCUCAAGUGCUGUGGAUAUAUUAUUGAUGCUAGUGUUUGAGAGAGAGAGGAAUUGCAGUGCCUGCAGAUUUUUGAAGUGGAAUGGAAUCCCACCGGUGAAUUUGUUGUGUGCAAGACCCAGACUUCUCAAGCUCUGACAAGAGGAUAGACCAUCAGGAACUGGACCGUGAAAAUUAUUAGAAGCAAGACGAAGUGAGGUGAUACUGAUCAUUGCAGAACAAUUUAUACUGAUCGGACCAUGCAUACUGUUGUUGUACAGAUCAAUCUUCAAAAUCGAAGGAGAAUUCACCAAAGAAAUAGGCAAUAAGCCACUUAAUCUGUUUGAGCCAGCAGAGAAGGACUCCAACUUUCUCAGUCUCCCAAAAACAUCUGGAAGACUUCCAUCGAAGCCAUUGGAAGAGAUAUCCAAUUCAACGAGUUUAGAGAGGUUACCAAUUCCGUAAUUCAGAGGCCCUGAGAACCUAUUUUCUUGAAGGUGCAGUAUUCUAAGAUGUUGUAACCGGAAUAAAUUCUCAGGGAAAGUUCCAGAUAGACCAUUGCCAUUGAGAUAAACAUACUGCAAUGAAGUACAAUUCUCCAAAUAUGUUGAAGUUUCUCCGAACAAGUUAUUUGCAAGAUCAAGAUACUGGAUAUUAGAUGAAGUUUUACAAAUUUCUGAGGUAAGGAUGCUAGAGAAAUAAUUCUUUGAAAGGUCAAAAUACUUCACUGAGGGCAAAUGGAUUAUGGUGGGAAGUGAACCAACGAAAUAAUUGUUACUCAAGUCAAGGACUUCCAGGUUCUGGAAACGAAACAAGUUGGUAGGAAUUUCACCAUCGAGAGAAUUAUGAGAGAGGUUCAGGAUUCUUAGUUGCUCCAAUCCAACCAAACUCUCACAUAUCGUUCCUGAAAGUCUUUUGUUCCCAAGUUCUAGCCCAACCACUCUUUCAUUUAAAACAGAGGAAUUAUCACAAGUGAUACCUGACCAGGAGCAGCAAUUGAGGCUGUUCCAGUUCCACCCGCCAAUAUCUGAUUCUAAACACUUGAUGAAACCUUUGAGGGCUGUUAAGUCAUUCCAAUUGCAUGCCGGUUGUUGAGAUCCCUGGAUCCUUUGCCCAAACAUGACAACUAACAAAAUGAAAGCUACAGAGACCUUUGGGAUCACCAUGAAGGUCAAUUUAACAAAAGGAAGCAAGGAGUUGUUACUGGUUUUUGCUAUGCUAUGAUGUUAUACAUUUUCCUUCUUUUUUGGUCUCCUCUGUAACGUUUUAAGGGGACGAAGGAAGCAGAACCCAUGACUUAUGUGGGAGCUUGGACAAUCCAUCUCUCUGCUUCUUGAGUUAGGAAAGAUGAUUAAAUGAUCUUAUUGACUUGUUCAACCAAAAUUUGUCCAUAUCCCGUUACGCGUUCGUUCAUAAACCCAUAGUUUCUGUCAAAAAAAGAAAAUGACCAUUGAUAAACUUCAUGUCCGCACGAGAGUCGUUUUACAGUGAAGGUUUACCAAUAUUUUGACAAGAAAUAAUACAUUAACAGCUGAUACACACGUACCUGCCUCAAUAACAAUGUGUUGAUUAAUCAUUUCAUUAUUUUCCAUUAAUGGACUUUUUUCUUUAUAGGUCAAUGUGUAACAAGUGAUUAAUGUUUAAUUAUUGUAAGCAUUAAUCAUUGUAAGCUACAAGCAAUUUACUGGUGUCAUUGGCUUCGCUACUAACUUGAUGACUGUUGUAUACUUAACUUCCAUUUUUAGGUGUGUAAAAUAUAAAAUUUUAUUUGUCAUAAUUCAUAUUGAUAUAUUUAAUAUGAAUAUUUUUUUUUAACUCAUAACAUUUUUGUUAAAAUUUUAAACAAUAUUAUUUUUAUAUUUUUAUAUCAUUUUUAUAUCAUAUUAUUAUACUUAAAACUAUCAAAUUUAUUUAUACAUACAAAUUUAAUCACUCAACUAUAUUUUCAUUGUACAUAUAAAUGCAACCACUUAGAUAAAUAUUACCUUCUCCUCUUACUGAAUUGUUGCUUAGGAACAUUUUGUCGAGAAGAUAUUUUGGAUUUUCUUUUUAUUUGGAUAUUGCUAUAGCCUAUGGGUGCCAAGCAUCAAAGGUUAAUUCUUGAAAAGUCUUAUUUCAGCUGAUGAGUUUCUAAGAUCAAACGGUUUGCAAGAAUUGUGAUGAUAAAAAUGAGCGGAGAUAUGAAAGCAUCCUAGUUGACUAAGCAACUAUUUAGAUGAUGGAUGAUAAGAUUAGUUUUAAUAAGAUUAAAAAUUACGAUAAAAAUAAAAUUAAUUAUUAUAACGAUAAAAUUUAAUAUUAUAAUAUUAAAAUUAAAAUUAAUAGUAAAAUAUGUGUUUGAAUAACAAAAUUUGAAUAAUAAUACAAUUAUGACAGUGAAAUGAGAAUAAAAAAUUACUAUUAAGUACUUUAUUUUAAAAGUUUAUUGAUAAAUUACUUAUAUAUUUUUAUAAUAUUAUUUAUGAUAUUAAAAAAUCUUAAAAUUUUAAUUCAAUAUGAACAAUAAACAUAUUAUUUAUUGUAUAAUAAUAAAAUUUAUUUAUUCUACAAUAAUAAAUUUUUAUUUAUAUUAAAUUAAUAAAAUUAUUUUAAAAUUUAUAAAUCAAAAAAUCAAAAUGAAAAAACUAAAAGUCAAAUCGCAUGAAAAUCCUUAUAACAUUAAGGGCAAAAAAAUAAUAAAAAUAAUGGGCAAAAUAGGAAUAAAAGCCACAGUUGAAUCUCAACCAAAGCUCCAAUAAAUGCACGGAGGCUCUUACCUCCAGUGAAUGAAUGGAGGCCCUCGCGCCUCACUGCUGUUAUCCAAACACCUGGACAGUGCGAUUUGCUCCAAAUAAAGGGAACCAAUUGCGCUGAAACGGGACCACGAUGACUUCCAAAUGAGCCCAAACUGGAUCAGAAUUGGAAAAGUCUUAACUAACUGAUGUAGAUGGGAUACUGUUGGGAUACUGUAAUUUUAGCAAACCUUUUUUAUUUUUUAUUUUUAUUUUGCAUGUAUUAGCUGGAUUUAUUUGCUUGUAAAAUACUGCUAGCUGCCCUUGUUCCCACUUAAUUUCACAGCAGUGGUAAGGGAGACUUCCAUCUUUUUGUCUAUAUGACACGAGACAUCUUUCCUUGACUAACGCAAGAAAAAGGAACUCAAGUCAAUAGUCGGUGGCAAGCUCCAUAAAUUGUUAUAUGACAAGUGCGGCCCACCUUGUUCCAUGCCUUUUACCACUGGGAAGCCUGCUGGGAGUUCUUUCAGUUGAACAGUAUGGUUAACAAGGCUAUCAAGUCCAGUUAAACUUUCUGGUACUUCUCCGAAAAAGUAAUUGUUAGACAAGUCCAAGUAAAAGAGAUAUCUGAAAUCGCCAACCCAAAAAGGAACGGACCCUCCCAAAGAAUUCCAAGACAGAUCCAGAAAUUGCAACAUUUUGCAACCCCUCAACCACAUUGGAAGAGAACCUCUAAGGUAACAAAAUGGAAUAAUAAUUACCUUAAGACUUCUGAACUGCAAACUGACGUUGCUAGGCAUCUGUUCAUGAUAAAAGUUCAAACCAAGGACCAAUAUGGUCAAAUUCUUGCAGUCUUGUAGAAUCUCAAAUGCUGUCGUUACAUUAUUGAUGCUAGUGUUUGAGAGAGAGAGGAAUUUCAGUGCCUGUAGCUUUUUGAAGGGGAAUGGAAUCCCACCGGUGAAUUUGUUGCGUGAAAGAUCCAGACUUCUCAAGCUCUGACAACAGGAUAGACCAUCAGGAACUGGACCCAGAAAAUUAUUAGAAGCAAGACGAAGUGAGGUGAUACUGGUCAUUGCAGAACAAUUUAUACUGAUUGGACCUGCCGGACUGUUGUUGCGCAGAUCAAUCUUCAAAAUCGAAGGAGAAUUCACCAAAGAAAUAGGCAAUAAGCCAGUUAAUCUGUUUGAGCCGGCAGAGAAGGACUCCAACUUUCUCAGUCUCCCAAAAACAUCUGGAAGACUUCCAUCGAAGCCAUUGGAAGAGAUGUCCAAUUCAACGAGAAAUAAUUCUUUGAAAGGUCAAAAUACUUCACUGAGGGCAAAAGGAUUAUGGUCGGAAGUGAACAAACGAAAUAAUUGUUACUCAAAUCAAGGACUUCCAGGUUCUGGAAACGAAAAAAGUUGGUAGGAAUUUCACCAUCGAGAGAAUUAUGAGAGAGGUUCAGGAUUCGUAGUUGCUCCAAUCCAACCAAACUCUCACAUAUC
rnacentral:lncRNA from 1 species